rnacentral:rRNA from 1 species
CAAAGGUAGCGUAAUCACUUGUCUAUUAAUUGUAGACCCGUAUGAAAGGCAUAAUGAAGGUUUAACUGUCUCUUUUAGUAAAUCAAUUAAACUGAUCUUCUAGUUAAAAAGCUAGAAUAGUAACAUAAGACCAGAAGACCCUGUGAAGCUUUAACUAAACUAUUAAACCAUAUAAUAACUACUUUCGGUUGGGGCGACCUUGGAAAAAAAAAGAACUUCCAAAUACCUAUUACAUAAUAAUACCCACGGCUAACAAGCCUAUACAUAGACCCAGCAAAGCUGAUAAUUGAACCAAGUUACUCCAGGGAUAACAGCGCUAUCUUCUUCAAGAGCCCAUAUCAAAAAGAAGGUUUACGACCUCGAUGUUGGAUCAGGACAUCCUAAUGGUGCAGCCGCUAUUAACGGU